GUAAUUUGUUUCAGCAGCCACAGGAAACUUAUCCAGGCAGCACACUUACUACAAUUGGAACAAUACACAAAAGGUUAGCUUGGGUCCCAGGCAAGGAUGUCACACAAAUUUGUGAAGCCAUUCAUAUUUUU
rnacentral:snRNA from 1 species